CUCCUUCGGGAGGGGAUUAGUGGCGAACGGGUGAGUAACACGUGGGCAAUCUGCCCUGCACUCUGGGACAAGCCCUGGAAACGGGGUCUAAUACCGGAUACGAGUUUCACAGGCAUCUGUGAUUCUGGAAAGCUCCGGCGGUGCAGGAUGAGCCCGCGGCCUAUCAGCUUGUUGGUGAGGUAACGGCUCACCAAGGCGACGACGGGUAGCCGGCCUGAGAGGGCGACCGGCCACACUGGGACUGAGACACGGCCCAGACUCCUACGGGAGGCAGCAGUGGGGAAUAUUGCACAAUGGGCGCAAGCCUGAUGCAGCGACGCCGCGUGAGGGAUGACGGCCUUCGGGUUGUAAACCUCUUUCAGCAGGGAAGAAGCGAAAGUGACGGUACCUGCAGAAGAAGCGCCGGCUAACUACGUGCCAGCAGCCGCGGUAAUACGUAGGGCGCAAGCGUUGUCCGGAAUUAUUGGGCGUAAAGAGCUCGUAGGCGGCUUGUCGCGUCGGAUGUGAAAGCCCGGGGCUUAACCCCGGGUCUGCAUUCGAUACGGGCAGGCUAGAGUUCGGUAGGGGAGAUCGGAAUUCCUGGUGUAGCGGUGAAAUGCGCAGAUAUCAGGAGGAACACCGGUGGCGAAGGCGGAUCUCUGGGCCGAUACUGACGCUGAGGAGCGAAAGCGUGGGGAGCGAACAGGAUUAGAUACCCUGGUAGUC
rnacentral:rRNA from 1 species